AAAAGUGUAGUGGAACUCUAACAGCUCUCUUCUUUCUUAGAGUUGUUUCUCUAACUCAACCGCCGCCCAUGUUUCUCUCUCUCAUCCUCAUUUUUAAUUCAAUUUUAGAUCUUAAAUUUAGGUUUCGUUUUUUUAAUUCAUGGGAUAAUAAAUUCUAUCUAGUUUUAGUUUGAAUUUAGGAAAAUUUUAGUCUUCCGUUAGUUAGUGUUUGCACAUUUUAAUUCUGUGAGUUAAAAUUCGACUCUUUAAACGUUGUUUGGGAAAGGCUAGAACUUAUAAUUCUGUAGUAAAUAAACUAUUGCAAGUGCAAAUAUAUGUUGAUGGUUGACGUCAUACAUACUAUUCUUCUCAUGGGUGUUUUACUUUAUUACAUCUUGAAGAAGGAGAUGAUAACAAUCAUCAAAAGUUCAUAAGGGAAUACAUAAUUUAUAAGGCUUUGAAGCGGAAAGAGCUCUUCAAUACGAAGGAGAUAGAUCGUCUACAAUUGCAUGAGUUACUAUUUCAAAUUUCAAACUGAAGCUAUGGACUUGUGAAGGGGGAUUGAAUAUAUCUAUAAAUUUCGACUACUAAGCUACAUGAAUUAGUUUUUGUAUAUCAAUUUUUUGGUUUUUUAGUUUUAAAAAUUUGUAAAUUUGUAAGUUGGUUUACUAUUUAUCAUUUUGGAAUCUCCAUAUGGAUUUUAUUUUAAUUUCCA